GUAAAUAUAGUUUAAAAAAAACAUUAGAUUGUGAAUCUAAUAAUAGAAGCCACUAUCUUCUUAUUUACC
rnacentral:tRNA from 1 species